GAUGAACGCUGGCGGCGUGCUUAACACAUGCAAGUCGAACGAAGCAGUUUGUUUGGAUCCCUUCGGGGUGACGAACUUAUUGACUGAGUGGCGGACGGGUGAGUAACGCGUGGGUAACCUGCCUUACACAGGGGGAUAACAGUUAGAAAUGGCUGCUAAUACCGCAUAACCCGCUAGUACCGCAUGGUACAGACGGAAAAGAUUUAUCGGUGUAAGAUGGACCCGCGUCUGAUUAGCUGGUUGGUGAGGUAACGGCUCACCAAGGCGACGAUCAGUAGCCGGCUUGAGAGAGUGAACGGCCACAUUGGGACUGAGACACGGCCCAAAACUCCUACGGGAGGCAGCAGUGAGGAAUAUUGGUCAAUGGCGAGAGCCUGACCAGCCAAGUAGCGUGAGGGACGAC
rnacentral:rRNA from 1 species